AGUGAACGCUGGCGGCGUGCCUAAUACAUGCAAGUCGAACGAGCGGCGGACGGGUGGGGAAUGCCUAGGAAUCUACCUGGUCGUGGGGGGUAACGUCCGGAAAGGGGCGCUAAUACCGCAUACUAUCAGAUGAGCCUAGGUGGGAUUAGCUAGUUGGUGGGGUAAAGGCUUACCAAGGCGACGAUCCGUAACUGGUCUGAGAGGAUGAUCAGCCACACUGGAACUGAGACACGGUCCAGACUCCUACGGGAGGCAGCAGUGGGGAAUAUUGGACAAUGGGCGCAAGCCUGAUCCAGCCAUGCCGCGUGUGUGAAGAAGGUCUUCGGAUUGUAAAGUACUUUAAGCGGGGAGGCGUUACCAACAGAAGAAGCACCGGCUAACUCCGUGCCAGCAGCCGCGGUAAUAC
rnacentral:rRNA from 1 species